AGUUUUCCAGAAAGGGAGUGUUUCCCGUCUGUCGCCAGUGGGCGGAGCAUAAUGUGCAGUUCUGACUUUUGAGACCCUCUGAAAAUAGGCAUCUGUCCAGGCACAAUCUCUGCUGUUAUUGGAGUCACUUUUCUAGAUAAACCAGCCUCACUUGAACUGUCUGAAGAAAAAUACUACCACAAAGAAGAAAGCUACUCCUGUGAACACCUGGAAGACCUGAGGUUCCUCUUCAAAAAAACUCUAGUAAUGCUCUAGCAGGCGGUGAAACAACUGAGCUAAAUCCCCGGCCCAACAGAUUCUUUUUUCUUCAACCCAGCCAAUGAGGACAAUAACCCAAGGUAGGUGGAGAGCAAAUAAUCCCUCGGAGAUAGGAUCUGUAGCCCCUUUGAGGAGGAAGUAGCUAUAUAAAGAUGGAGACCUCUACUCAACAACUCAUAAAGAAUUAUGGGAAUAUGUGUCUUUCAGGGGGAAAUGAGGCAGGUGACUAGGGAAUGACAAAGCUGACUGGACAAGUAGGCAUAACCUGUUAAUUACAAAAUCCCAAGCACAGGACAGUUUCCAAAGCCCUUCAAGUGAAUGUCCCAUGAGAACUCAAUCAGAUUUUCAAAUGGAUGGCCUAAACCUGAUGCCAUCCUGAGAAGGGGCAAAUACAGAACGACAGUUGACAUUGAAUUUUUUGUUACUGUGUUCUUUCAUGAUAACCUACUCUCAUCCUGUAGAGUGUAUUUAUUUUCCUAUUUUCAUUGGCCCAAUUUCACUCUGCAGAACUUGGCUCUUUUCCCCCUACCUGUAAUAAAUGUAAAAAAAAACCCAUAAUGAACAACUGAAACUCACACUCAGCCCAAGGGUUAGACUAGUAUCAAUAAAUUGUGUCUCCCUAUGUGUUGUUCUCAUGGUCUGAGCGCCCCUUUUGAAUUU
rnacentral:lncRNA from 1 species